GGAUCCCUAUGCAGGCAGACCUAUAGGACAACUGUUGGAAAAUUAAAGGGAUAUUUUUAUCCCAAGUUUACAAGUGGAUCCCUUCUUUUGGACUUCACUGAUACUUUGAAAAAUUGCGGAACACUCCUGAAGAAGUCGAUAAAGAUGAAACGCGUUGGUGAAAGCUCAUUAUAUUGUUUUAUACAUAUUUCUUAUACGAAUAAUGCUGAAAUACACAAUUGUAUCUUAAAUGUAAAAGAAAUUUUCAUGACUAAUUCAUUUUAAAUCUAAAUCUUUUAAUAAAGAGAUAUAUGUGAUUCUAAUAUGGGUGUCUAAAUG